rnacentral:rRNA from 1 species
CAGCCGCCGCGGUAAUACCGGCGGCCCGAGUGGCGGUCACUAUUAUUGGGCUUAAAGCGUCCGUAGCCGGGUUGGGAAGUCCUCCGGGAAAUCUGGCCGCUUAACGGUCAGAAUGCCGGAGGAUACUCCCAGCCUAGGGAGCGGGAGAGGCCGAGGGGAUUCCCGGAGGAGGGGGGAAAUCCUAUAAUCCCGGGAGGGCCACCUGUGGCGAAGGCGCUCGGCUGGAACGCGUCCGACGGUGAGGGACGAAGGCCAGGGGAGCAAACCGGAUUAGAUACCCGGGUAGUCCUGGCUGUAAACGAUGCGGACUUUGUGUCGGACAAGCUAUGAGCUUGUCCGGUGCCGGAGGGAAACCGUUAAGUCCGCCGCCUGGGGAGUACGGCCGCAAGGCUGAAACUUAAAGGAAUUGGCGGG